UCAUUUUUCGCUCUAAACGUUUGCAAUUUCACAAUAGAAAAGAAAGUAUAUUUCGUUGAAUAUAAUUUAUAGAUAUAAUUAAAUAAAAGGUAAAGUACAAGACAAGGAUCUAUCGUGAAAUAGAGCACAUAAUAGUAAACAUUUUACCUGCUUGCAAAACCCAAAAAUAAUGGAGGAAUUAAAGAAAUUGGUCGCACAAUACCAAUGUAAUGCGUAUGUUGAUGUAAGCAGCUCCGAUAGCGACAGUGACUCUUACAUAUCGACUGGACGGCCAGCACACAGAAAAUCCGUUAAUGAAGCUAAAGAUGCUGAAGGGGAGAGCGGCAAACGUAAAACCGGAACAGCACGGCUGCCGACAAGACGUCCAGAUCCCAAUGUAUACAACAGAAAUGCGUUGCUUGCGCGCGAAAAUCGCCGCAAAAAGAAGGCGUACAUGGAGUCAGUCGAAAAGGAGCUUGACGAAACUCGCAGCACCAACAGAUCUUUGCUGAAAGCUCUUAAGAAACAGUUCAAAUUAACACAAAAGCUCGAAAAAGAGUGUCAAUAUCUGAAGGACGUAUUGGGUAAUUGCAAAAAUAACAAAACUGUUACCACAGUACUAAAUGUGGACAUUUCAUCGCCGGAUAACCGGGCUGCUUCACCGGAUGGCUCCCUCAUAUCAACUUAUUCAAGCAGCAGCUAUGAGCUGCCCAUGGAGACGAAGUGCUUUCCAGGCGUGCUGAACGACGACAAUGAUUAUCAGCAUCAGCCUGCGCCCGCGUACGAGGAUGAGAGCUGCACCCGAUUUCUGGAGGAUAACAGCUUUGGCCUACCAGAAUGCCAGCAACCGCUUAAACCACUGACAAUUAUUGAUGAGCAUAGCUAUUUCAAUAAAUUUUCGGAAACUGGUUUUAUUCCAAGCUGCGAUUGGAGCCCCAGUCGCACUCCGCCCACGCAGUUGCUGCAAGAUGACGAGUUCUUGAUCAACACAGACAGCGGAUGCAUUGCAAGUCUAUAGAUUUAUUAUUUUUUUAAGUAUUUUGUUAAGGAGUUUUAAGCAUUCUUAGAUUAAGCUAUUCUGACGCGUUCUUUUUGUGAAUCGAUAUAAUUCUUUCCAUUAUGACAAUUUUAAAAUUUGACCAGCUUAGCCCGUGGAGUUUAUGAUAGAACACCAGCCCACUGAACCGGUCCUUUGGCCUUGAUGUUAAAAAUUUGUUUCAUAAUUUCAGGCCUGUGUGGAGGCGCGUUGGAUAAUUUUUCAUCCAGCACGCAAAUUAAAAAUUUAAAGUUGCGGCCAGAAUUUAGGACGAAUCUCGAUAUCUAACGGAUUUCCAAAUUAUAUUGGAAGGAGAUGAGUUACAGGCGUCGAGUGUAUUAAAUGAAAAAUAAGACCUUUUUUUUUAAUCAUAUUUAAAGAGUAAAAAAUUUACUAAUUUAUUUGGAUUCUGACAUGUUUCAGAUGUGUUAAUCACACAAUCGAUGUAUACUCUUACAUUGAUUUUAGUGGACAGUGAGGCUUGAAACACCGGUAUGUACUUCUAUCAUAACUCCUGAAAAGGCAUUUCGUAUUACUUGAAUUAUUAUUUGUUGAUUUUGGAAAGAAUAAUCGAUACAAUUUCAUUAAUAUGCAUUUGUUAUUGAGCCCAAAUAAAACUACAACUACACAAUA